GAUGAACGCUGGCGGCGUGCCUAAUACAUGCAAGUCGAGCGCACAGGCUUGGUACUUGUUCCUAUUGGAUGAGCGGCGGACGGGUGAGUAACGCGUGGAGAAUCUGCCUUUGAGCGGGGGAUAACAUCUGGAAACGAGUGCUAAUACCGCAUAAUAACUUUAACCACAUGUUUCAAGUGUGAAAGAUGCCUUUGCAUCACUCAAAGAUGGUAUCGCGUGGUAUUAGCUAGUUGGUGAGGUAAAGGCUCACCAAGGGAAGGAUCAGUAGCCGCCCUGAGAGGUUGAUCGGCCAAAUUGGACCGGAGACAGGCUCCAGCUUCUUACGGGAGGAAGCAGAGGGGAAUUUCGGGCAAUGGGGGAAAGCCUGACGGAGAAACGCCGCGUGGGUGAUGAAGGUUUCGGGAUCGUAAACUCUGGUUGUUGGGAAAGAACAAAGGUGGAGGGAAAUACGCAUGAAUUGACGGUAACUACUCAGAAAGCAACGGCUAACUACGUG
rnacentral:rRNA from 1 species